UCCAGGGGGAUGGGGGGAGGGGGGUCCAUGGAUGUAAUACUGGCCCGGGGCGUUGCGGGUUUUGGAGGUUGAAAUAUUUUAAGGGGGGCGGGGGGGAGAGAAAAGCAGUUUCACGACUUCGAGGAGCGGCUGUGCCCGAUUGGAAGCGUCCCCUUUCCUCCAUGCUGCCUACUCUCCCCAGGGGUUCGUGUAUUCACUUCUCUAACCUUGCUAAACCUCGGGGGCGGGGGUGGGGUGGAUUUUGGAAAUGGCCUGCGCGAUGACCCGGAGGACUUCUGAAAAGCCAAUUUGCCUGUAGUAGAAUCGUAAGAGUGUCGACUGCUGGAGCUACCCAACAGGGGCAUUUCAAGGCAGCAAGAUCUUGCCACGUUGCAGGCAGCGGCGGUCCCCUCCCUGAAGGAGGAGGAAAGCCAUUAGGCUAGUAUUCCCAGAUCCUGCGGGGAAAGCCCCUGGUGCUAUAGGAAACAAAGACCAAAUUUCUGCUGGAUCCUUUGUCCUGGGAAAUGGGGAAAGAUGUUCUCGCUUCCCGGGGAACCUUUGCCUUUAGAAAAUGGAGCUGGGGGGGGGGGAGCGAAGUGAGCGGGAUGGACGAAUGCACUUGCGGGCGGGGGAGGGCAGUAAGUUCAAAUAAGGCCAACCACCGUGGGUCACGAGUAUCCAACCCACCCAUUUCCUCAGAACCUGGUAUAUUUGUGCCCAGAGUUUUCCAUAUCUGUUGUCUUUGAGGUCCAGUAUUGUGUUUCUUCCUCCCUCCUCCCCCCAUCUUGCAUUUCCUGUUUUGGAUUAACCCGGGGGAAGCACUCAGUUUGGAAAGAAAGAGGAAGGUUUUCUUAUUUUAAAAUACCUUUCCACCCCUCGUUGAAUGGUAUGUGCCGCUCUCUUCGGACUCCGCCAGGAGUGGACGCGACCUUUGCCAGUGGGAGGGGACAAUCCUCUCCCCCUGGAGCUCUGGGGUGUUCCUUGUCUUGCUCCCUCCCCAAGGGAAACCCCUAAAGAAAAAUGUGAAAGUGGAAACAGAGACCUCCACAGGUGGACUUCCAGCACUUCGUGGAUAGACUUCCGGUGCUUCAAGGAGUGGACCUCCAGUGACAGAAACCUCAAUAAAUGUGACCUUACUGUAAUUCCUAAACCAUCUGACCCCAACCUGACUUUCAAGCCUUUCUAUAUAAGACUUUUCUUUCUGAACUCAGUGAUCCAGCCACAUUGGUCUUCUUUCUGUUCUUCAUACACAACAUUCCACUUCCCACAAGUCGAACUUUGAUGCCUGGAUGUACUUUCUCUUCAUCUCUGCUUCAAAGAGCCCUUCCUUGAUAAGUCACAGUUCAAGUACUACGUUCUCUUCCCUUUUUUCUUUUCUUCCUUCUUUUCUUCAUUACUCCCUCCCUUACCCCUUUUCUUUCUUUCCUCUCCCUUCUUUCAGUCUUAGAAUUGAUAUUAAGUAUCCAAGGUAGAAGAGAGGUAAGGGUUAAGCUUUUGAAAGUGACUUGCCCAGGUUCACACCCCUAGGAAAUCCCUGAGGCUAGAUUUGACCUUGCUAUCUACUGAGCCACUAGCUCCCCCCCCCCCCCAGGCACUAUUAUUUCACCUUUAUCUUUAUUCUGAAAAUAUAGAAUUUCAUCUUUAAUCAGAGCUGCUCUAAAACAUUUGAGUCACCCUUUGUUGUCACUUCAGAUCUCAUGUACAAGUAGGGAUUGUUUUAUACUUUGUACUUAUA
ensembl:lncRNA